UGACCUAGGGGGAUCCUACAGGAGAGCCCUAUGGACUUGAGCGACUCUACCUGAGGGGACUUUAGGACUGUACAGAAGUACAGAACCAUGUUCUGUACUGGGACACGACACAAUAUUGCUUGAGAAAGACUUCUACUCGGAAACAUUGCAAUGCUAUAAUAAAAGGAACACAUUAAUUGGAUGUGCUGUCUCAGACAUCUAUUUUUUUACAGUUCAGAGAAGAAACUGUGAAGUGAUCAGAUCCAUGGAGGUGAAGAACAGUUCAGUAAUAUCAGCGGUCCAGGUGCAAAUUUUCAAGUUACACAUCCUCCAAGUACACCCCUCCCACCCAUGGGUCCUCAUCUUCUCCUAAGGAAAGGCUACUGAUGAAUAAUGCAUAUAGCUGCAUAAUUCAAAAACUGUUUGGACGCACAUAGUUAGAUUGUAGACAUGAAAGUUUUACACUUCAAGAUUUCCCGACUUUGAUUUUCCAAUGAAAAAAUAAAUAUACUGGAUCUUCUUCAAGAAAUGGGAAGAACUAAUGUUUAUAGCAAAAGUGAACUGUACUGAAUUGUCAGGCACCAAAGUUCAAAUAAUUCCAAAGAUUUUUAUGUUUCUUGCAACCUUCUUUGCAUGUCCUCUUGGAGCCAUAAAGAUCUACUCUGAAUGAAUAUCAAGACAGGUGACAUACUGAGCUCUACCAAUCAGUUUAUAAGAAAUGAUAGGUCACACAGUGAGUUAAGAAGGAUUUGUCUAGAAAGGUGACACUGACCUUGAAAAUAGUGAACUAUCUCUUCAAAUGUGGUAAAAGAAAAUGUAUUUUGUGUGCUGAUCUCCAGCCGUAGAUCGGUCUUUAUAGAAAAGAGAGGAUUAUGGCGCCUAAGUUAAAUAAUAAACAU